rnacentral:rRNA from 1 species
AACGCGAAGAACCUUACCUGGGCUCGAAAUGUAGAGAAAAACCCAAGAGAUUGGGCGUUCCGAAAGGAGCUCUAUAUAGGUGCUGCAUGGCUGUCGUCAGCUCGUGCCGUGAGGUGUUUGGUUAAGUCCAGCAACGAGCGCAACCCUUAUUGUUAGUUGCCAGCGCGUAAUGGCGGGAACUCUAACAAGACUGCCUAGGUUAACUAGGAGGAAGGUGAGGAUGACGUCAAGUCCGCAUGGCCUUUAUGUCCAGGGCUACACACGUGCUACAAUGGUCGCCACAGAAGGCAGCGAAGCCGCGAGGUGAAGCAAAUCCUACAAAGGCGAUCUCAGUUCGGAUUGCAGUCUGCAACUCGGCUGCAUGAAGUUGGAAUUGCUAGUAAUGGCGUGUCAGCAACAACGCCGUGAAUACGUUCCCGGGCCUUGUACACACCGAUAGC